GGGUUGUGAGGUUAAGCGACUAAGCGUACACGGUGGAUGCCCUGGCAGUCAGAGGCGAUGAAGGACGUGCUAAUCUGCGAUAAGCGUCGGUAAGGUGAUAUGAACCGUUAUAAAGAAAUCAACCGAGAUUCCCCCAGUAGCGGCGAGCGAACGGGGAGCAGCCCAGAGCCUGAAUCAGURUGUGUGUUAGUGGAAGCGUCUGGAAAGGCGCGCGAUACAGGGUGACAGCCCCGUACACAAAAAUGCACAUGCUGUGAGCUCGAUGAGUAGGGCGGGACACGUGGUAUCCUGUCUGAAUAUGGGGGGACCAUCCUCCAAGGCUAAAUACUCCUGACUGACCGAUAGUGAACCAGUACCGUGAGGGAAAGGCGAAAAGAACCCCGGCGAGGGGAGUGAAAAAGAACCUGAAACCGUGUACGUACAAGCAGUGGGAGCACGCUUAGGCGUGUGACUGCGUACCUUUUGUAUAAUGGGUCAGCGACUUAUAUUCUGUAGCAAGGUUAACCGAAUAGGGGAGCCGAAGGGAAACCGAGUCUUAACUGGGCGUUAAGUUGCAGGGUAUAGACCCGAAACCCGGUGAUCUAGCCAUGGGCAGGUUGAAGGUUGGGUAACACUAACUGGAGGACCGAACCGACUAAUGUUGAAAAAUUAGCGGAUGACUUGUGGCUGGGGGUGAAAGGCCAAUCAAACCGGGAGAUAGCUGGUUCUCCCCGAAAGCUAUUUAGGUAGCGCCUCGUGAAUUCAUCUCCGGGGGUAGAGCACUGUUUCGGCAAGGGGGUCAUCCCGACUUACCAACCCGAUGCAAACUGCGAAUACCGGAGAAUGUUAUCACGGGAGACACACGGCGGGUGCUAACGUCCGUCGUGAAGAGGGAAACAACCCAGACCGCCAGCUAAGGUCCCAAAGUCAUGGUUAAGUGGGAAACGAUGUGGGAAGGCCCAGACAGCCAGGAUGUUGGCUUAGAAGCAGCCAUCAUUUAAAGAAAGCGUAAUAGCUCACUGGUCGAGUCGGCCUGCGCGGAAGAUGUAACGGGGCUAAACCAUGCACCGAAGCUGCGGCAGCGACGCUUAUGCGUUGUUGGGUAGGGGAGCGUUCUGUAAGCCUGCGAAGGUGUGCUGUGAGGCAUGCUGGAGGUAUCAGAAGUGCGAAUGCUGACAUAAGUAACGAUAAAGCGGGUGAAAAGCCCGCUCGCCGGAAGACCAAGGGUUCCUGUCCAACGUUAAUCGGGGCAGGGUGAGUCGACCCCUAAGGCGAGGCCGAAAGGCGUAGUCGAUGGGAAACAGGUUAAUAUUCCUGUACUUGGUGUUACUGCGAAGGGGGGACGGAGAAGGCUAUGUUGGCCGGGCGACGGUUGUCCCGGUUUAAGCGUGUAGGCUGGUUUUCCAGGCAAAUCCGGAAAAUCAAGGCUGAGGCGUGAUGACGAGGCACUACGGUGCUGAAGCAACAAAUGCCCUGCUUCCAGGAAAAGCCUCUAAGCAUCAGGUAACAUCAAAUCGUACCCCAAACCGACACAGGUGGUCAGGUAGAGAAUACCAAGGCGCUUGAGAGAACUCGGGUGAAGGAACUAGGCAAAAUGGUGCCGUAACUUCGGGAGAAGGCACGCUGAUAUGUAGGUGAAGUCCCUCGCGGAUGGAGCUGAAAUCAGUCGAAGAUACCAGCUGGCUGCAACUGUUUAUUAAAAACACAGCACUGUGCAAACACGAAAGUGGACGUAUACGGUGUGACGCCUGCCCGGUGCCGGAAGGUUAAUUGAUGGGGUUAGCGCAAGCGAAGCUCUUGAUCGAAGCCCCGGUAAACGGCGGCCGUAACUAUAACGGUCCUAAGGUAGCGAAAUUCCUUGUCGGGUAAGUUCCGACCUGCACGAAUGGCGUAAUGAUGGCCAGGCUGUCUCCACCCGAGACUCAGUGAAAUUGAACUCGCUGUGAAGAUGCAGUGUACCCGCGGCAAGACGGAAAGACCCCGUGAACCUUUACUAUAGCUUGACACUGAACAUUGAGCCUUGAUGUGUAGGAUAGGUGGGAGGCUUUGAAGUGUGGACGCCAGUCUGCAUGGAGCCGACCUUGAAAUACCACCCUUUAAUGUUUGAUGUUCUAACGUUGACCCGURAUCCGGGUUGCGGACAGUGUCUGGUGGGUAGUUUGACUGGGGCGGUCUCCUCCUAAAGAGUAACGGAGGAGCACGAAGGUUGGCUAAUCCUGGUCGGACAUCAGGAGGUUAGUGCAAUGGCAUAAGCCAGCUUGACUGCGAGCGUGACGGCGCGAGCAGGUGCGAAAGCAGGUCAUAGUGAUCCGGUGGUUCUGAAUGGAAGGGCCAUCGCUCAACGGAUAAAAGGUACUCCGGGGAUAACAGGCUGAUACCGCCCAAGAGUUCAUAUCGACGGCGGUGUUUGGCACCUCGAUGUCGGCUCAUCACAUCCUGGGGCUGAAGUAGGUCCCAAGGGUAUGGCUGUUCGCCAUUUAAAGUGGUACGCGAGCUGGGUUUAGAACGUCGUGAGACAGUUCGGUCCCUAUCUGCCGUGGGCGCUGGAGAAYUGAGGGGGGCUGCUCCUAGUACGAGAGGACCGGAGUGGACGCAUCACUGGUGUUCGGGUUGUCAUGCCAAUGGCACUGCCCGGUAGCUAAAUGCGGAAGAGAUAAGUGCUGAAAGCAUCUAAGCACGAAACUUGCCCCGAGAUGAGUUCUCCCUGACUCCUUGAGAGUCCUGAAGGAACGUUGAAGACGACGACGUUGAUAGGCCGGGUGUGUAAGCGCAGCGAUGCGUUGAGCUAACCGGUACUAAUGAACCGUGAGGCUUAACCUUACAACGCCGAAG
rnacentral:rRNA from 1 species